UACGGGGGGGGGCAAGCGUUGUUCGGAAUUACUGGGCGUAAAGGGCUCGUAGGUGGCCAACUAAGUCAGACGUGAAAUCCCUCGGCUUAACCGGGGAACUGCGUCUGAUACUGGAUGGCUUGAGGUUGGGAGAGGGAUGCGGAAUUCCAGGUGUAGCGGUGAAAUGCGUAGAUAUCUGGAGGAACACCGGUGGCGAAGGCGGCAUUCUGGACCGAUAUUGACGCUGAGGAGCGAAAGCCAGGGGAGCAAACGGG
rnacentral:rRNA from 1 species